rnacentral:rRNA from 3 species
UCAAAACUUUCAACAACGGAUCUCUUGGUUCUGGCAUCGAUGAAGAACGCAGCGAAAUGCGAUAAGUAAUGUGAAUUGCAGAAUUCAGUGAAUCAUCGAAUCUUUGAACGCACAUUGCGCCCGCCAGUAUUCUGGCGGGCAUGCCUGUUCGAGCGUCA